UCCGUAGGGUGCGAGCGUUAAUCGGAAUUACUGGGCGUAAAGCGUGCGCAGGCGGUUCGCUGUGUCCGAUGUGAAAGCCCCGGGCUUAACCUGGGAAUGGCAUUGGAAACUGGCGGGCUUGAGUGCGGCAGAGGGGGGUGGAAUUCCGCGUGUAGCAGUGAAAUGCGUAGAGAUGCGGAGGAACACCGAUGGCGAAGGCAGCCCCCUGGGUCGACACUGACGCUCAGGCACGAAAGCGUGGGGAGCAAACAGG
rnacentral:rRNA from 1 species